AGCUAAUACCGCAUAACGUCGCAAGACCAAAGUGGGGGACCUUCGGGCCUCAUGCCAUCAGAUGUGCCCAGAUGGGAUUAGCUAGUAGGUGGGGUAACGGCUCACCUAGGCGACGAUCCCUAGCUGGUCUGAGAGGAUGACCAGCCACACUGGAACUGAGACACGGUCCAGACUCCUACGGGAGGCAGCAGUGGGGAAUAUUGCACAAUGGGCGCAAGCCUGAUGCAGCCAUGCCGCGUGUGUGAAGAAGGCCUUCGGGUUGUAAAGCACUUUCAGCGGGGAGGAAGGCGAUAAGGUUAAUAACCUUGUCGAUUGACGUUACCCGCAGAAGAAGCACCGGCUAACUCCGUGCCAGCAGCCGCGGUAAUACGGAGGGUGCAAGCGUUAAUCGGAAUUACUGGGCGUAAAGCGCACGCAGGCGGUCUGUCAAGUCGGAUGUGAAAUCCCCGGGCUCAACCUGGGAACUGCAUUCGAAACUGGCAGGCUAGAGUCUUGUAGAGGGGGGUAGAAUUCCAGGUGUAGCGGUGAAAUGCGUAGAGAUCUGGAGGAAUACCGGUGGCGAAGGCGGCCCCCUGGACAAAGACUGACGCUCAGGU
rnacentral:rRNA from 1 species